AUAGAGUGAUUUUCAAAUUUGGGAUCUUGAUUCUAAAGCAUGAAACAUUAUAUAUAUAUAUAUAUUGCAUGAAACUUAUAAAUGAUUUCGGUCUGACUGACAUAAAUAAAAUUUAAAGAAAAAAGGGGAAAACAAGAAUAAGAGCUAACUACUUCUAGCUACCUCUCUUUUUUUUUUGGGUCUAUUAUUCUAUUAUUUCCUUUUGGUAAUUGGACUUUCAAAACAAUCUCAAAACAAUCUCAGUCUUGUACUAAUUGACUAUUUAACUGUGCAAUUGGAACCUUCUGUUGGAUUCCAUUGGUGAAAAAUGGAUAUAAAACACGUUUGAUUAUCUGGCGUUAUUGAAAGUCUGAUAAAAUUUCCCAACGAGGACUGAAAUUUGAUUGGAAGUAAUUGGAAUUCAACAUAGCCCUUAAUUAAAUGAUAAGACAGUGCAGUUGUACUUGAUGCUGUUGGACAGGGGAUAGGACAGAUCUUAGCCUUGAAUUUUAUCAAGUAUACUAUUAUUGAAGUUUUAGACAUUGUUGAACAAGUGCUUUUUUGGUCUUGUAACAUAUAGAAUUAUGUUCUGGUUAUGCCCAUCCUUUUCAAGCUCCUGCUUUCUUCUUCUCCCUGCCCUCUUUCUCUCUCAUCCCCCCCACCCCCUCCCCUCCCCCCUCCACAAGCUUGUAUACUUCUGCUGAAUGAUGUUCUUAUUAUCACGUCACUUGUUUUUAUAGUAUGUUGGCCACAGUUAUGAAUGCUAUAUUUCUUCAAGCAACUAUGGAGAGUAUUGGCAUUCCAACCAGGGUUCAGACUGCAUUUCGCAUGUCAGAGGUUGCAGAACCAUAUAUUCGUCGACGGGCUGUCAGGCAUUUGGAAAAAGGAAGAGUUGUGAUUUUUGCAGCUGGAACUGGGAAUCCAUUCUUCACCACAGAUACAGCUGCAGCCCUGCGUUGUGCAGAAA
rnacentral:misc_RNA from 1 species